rnacentral:lncRNA from 1 species
AGAAAAAUACAUGUUAUACAUGUAUAUAGGAAUAAUAUCCUACUUUUAUACGUUAAUACUAGACAUACAAUCCACUCCACCUCUAGCCGUCUAAAUCUUCAAGGAAUUUCUCCAACACAAAUGUCAUCAGGAACCAUGUAUACUUUAGAAGCACAUUCUUCCCAAUAUUGGCAUCAAGUAAUAGCUGAUAAAACUUCUUAAGAUGGUUUGUCACCUUGAUAGAUAAAUUCCUAACCAUGAUGCAAGAAAUAUGCAUAUAAAUGAGAGUAUGAGACCCAUUAAACUCGAUUAACAAAUAAGAAGAUAAG